ACUGUAAAUCUGAAGCAAGCGUAUCUUAUAAUUAGUGUUCAUGAUAAAUGAUUGCUCAACCUCAUGAGUGAAAACGAAUUAAUCCUUUUUUAUUUCUCAUUCAGAUUACAGCAAACACCCUACAAAGACUCCAACACCCAUCAGUAGGUAAACAUAGUCCCUGAACUACAGGAAUAUCAGCACUAUCCCAUUCAGACAAUGAUCUUCACCACAUGGGUCAAAAUGCAGAACAUUGUGGAACAGCCUCCUGUGACUCUGGACCCAGUCACAGCAUCCAGUAAACUGCAGGUGUCUCAGGAUUGCCUCAGUGUUCAUUGCGUGGAAAAUAAAAUGAGUGUGUCUUAUAAACCCAGAGAGGAUGUAUGUGGGAGUGCUGGGCUCACAGGGCUUCAGCUCAGGUGUUCACUGCUGGGACGUGCAGGUAGAAAACAACAGUCACUGGACGCUGGGAGUGGUGUCAGAAAAAGUAGACCGCAAAAAAAAUUACAAAUUGUAUCCGAAGAAACAUUUUUGGUGUUUUUCAUUACAUGAAUUCUACAUACAUGCAAGGAAAUGAUCCUGUCAGCGAUAUUGAUAGCAAUGAGAGGCCAAAUAUCAUCCGACUGCAGCUGGACUUUGAUGAAGGAGAGCUGAGAUUCAUCGACCCUUUUAGAAACAGGAUUCUGUGCACCUACACGGGUAGAUUUCCAGAUAAAGUGUUCCCAUAUUUCUGUACUGAAGAUACGAUCAGCCCACUUAACAUUUUCUUUUUAAAUAAACAAAAAUUGUAAAGCACAAGAUUUCUUUUAUAUAUGUUGUGAUUUGUGCACGACACGUGCCAAGAUAAUCCUCAAAUGCAACGUAACGAGUGUUUUAGGGACACUGUAUAUCAAGUUAAGUGAUCAUUUAAUCAAGUAAUGUUUAAGUGUAUAGGGUGAAGCAUUAUAAAUAUAACAAAUUAUUUAAUGUGGUUAUCAAUGAACAAAAAAUAAAGGCUUUUUGGUGUA